UGCACUUUGUGGGACUUUGUUACUGAGACUUAGAAGGACUGUAUAUUGAGUUCUAUUGCCNGCAUCUAGGACAGAAUAGUAAAAAGGCAACCGCUCAGUAGGUACUGAAGUUCAAGGAAAGCAAGCUUCAACUCCAUCAUUCCUCGUUCAUCAUCACGCCCUGUACUCCUAGACAGUAUUAGCAAUUCAUGAUGGCGGAGAAAUCUACGGAGGCUGAGAAAGCUAUGGAGGCUGGGGAAGCUACAGAGCGAAGUCAAGCAUUUGAAACAAGAUCUAUAGCUUCUGCUUCGACUAAUAGAUCUAGAAGCUCAUCGGCUAGCGCAGCUGCUGCCAAGGCUCGCGCUAAACUGGAAGCUGCACGGGCCAGGACUGAAUUCCUUAAAAAAGAAUCCGAAAUCUUGAUUGAGAAAGCUCAACUGAAAGUUACAGAGGCAUGCAUGGAAGCGUCACUGGCAGCUAUAAAGCAUGAAAGUGAGGUGGCAGCAGCCAUUGCGGAGACGAAGGUUUUGGAGGCAGCAGCAGAUAGUGAACUUGGAGAAAGGAUUUCCGAUGUGAAAGAAGUUUCUGAUCGCACUCGUGAUUACGUCAUGAAUCAGUCUCAACUGAGGUUAUUGUCUCCGGCUGGAGAUGAGCCAUGUCAACUACCUCUAAAGCCCAUUGUCCAUGUGUUGAGGCCUGAGACACCUCCAAGGCAUCAUCGCUUAGCAUCUUGGGAUGUCAGAGAUUCUAACAAUAAACCUGAUACUGAGAGUAUAACGCAGCAUCCUCAGAAGUCAGUGCAAACAACUAGUCAAAAAUACCAAAUUCCACCGUUCACUUCUUCUCCAUAUAAGACAACACCACAACCAUCGUUCAACAACGACACUAAUGUGAGUGAGGUCGCCAGGUACUUAGCACGCCGAGAGCUUGUUAAUUCAGGGCUCUUCAAGUUUGACGAUCGUCCCGAGAAUUAUUGGGCGUGGAAGUCCUCUUUCAUCAACGCAAUUGAAGGUUUGCACCUAUCAGCUGCUGAGCAGUUAGACCUUCUGUCUAAAUGGUUGGGAGAACAGUCUUCACAACAUGUGCGAAGGAUCANCACACAGGUAAUCCAAACGCAGGCUUGGGAAAAGCAUGGGAGCGCUUGGAAGAUUGCUAUGGCUCUCCAGAGAUUAUUGAGAAAUCCCUCUUUGACAGGAUUGAUAGCUUUCCAAAAAUCAGCAACAAAGAUGCGAAAAAGCUUAGAGAACUUGGAGAUCUUCUACAGGAAGUGGAGUCUGCGAAACAUGAAGGCUACCUACCCGGACUUACUUAUCUUGACACCGCACGUGGUGUUGCUCCCAUCGUAGAUAAGUUACCUUACAGUCUUCAGGAGAGGUGGAUGGCUCAAGGUUCUCAGUACAAAUCAGCACAUCAAGUCGCCUUUCCUCCAUUCUCAUUCUUCUGUGAUUUCAUCAGCAGAGAGGCUCGAACACGCAACGAUCCAAGUUUUGCUCUGUCUUCAGGAAUCCAUAGUGUGUUGAAACCAGAGCAGCAAUUCAAGAGACAAAUGAAAAGCUCAGUCUACACUCACAAGACGGAAGUGUCAGCAGCGACUGUGAGUCAGACACACAGCUCAAACUAUGAGUUGGAUGAUGUGAAUAAGGUCUGCCCGAUUCAUAAGAAGCCCCACCCUCUCAAUCGUUGCAGAGGUUUUAGGAUCAAACCUCUGGAUGAGCGCAAGACUUUUCUAAAGGAGAAAGGUGUUUGCUACAGGUGCUGUGCAACAACCACUCAUCUGGCCAGGGACUGUAAGGCAGCUAUUAAAUGUAAGGAAUGUGGCAGUGAUGCUCAUAUCGCAGCGCUUCAUCCAGGACCACCGCCUUCAAACUUAUUUGAUCAUGGCGGGGAGGGAGAGAAAGACACGCCUCAACCUGCUAUAACUUCCAAGUGUACAGAAGUCUGUGGUUACGGUGAAUGUUCACGGUCAUGCUCUAAGAUUUGCCUGGCUAAGGUUUACCCAGAAGGCCACCCAGAAGGAGCAAUCAAGCUUUAUGUGAUCCUGGAUGAUCAGAGCAAUAGAUCGCUCGCUAGAACCAAGUUCUUCGACUUGCUGCAUGUCAAAGGAGAGAACUCAACAUAUACUCUACGUACCUGUGCAGGUGUGACAGAGACUGCGGGAAGAAGAGCUACUGGUUUCAUUAUAGAGUCUUUAGAUGGAGUAAUGAAGGUGAAAUUGCCAACAUUGAUCGAAUGCAACAAUAUGCCAGACGAUAGGGCCGAGAUACCAACACCUGAUGCAGCACGUUGGCACACUCACCUAAAGCCCAUCGCGAAUUGCAUUCCUCCUUUGGAUCCAGAAGCCCAAAUUCUUCUCCUUUUGGGUCGUGACAUCCUUCAGGUUCAUAAAGUACGGGAGCAACGUAAUGGUCCUAAUAACGCACCCUACGCACAAAGACUAGACCUAGGAUGGGUCGUAGUCGGAGACGUCUGCUUAGGAUCUGUCCACAGGUCUGCAGCACUUAGUGCUUACCGUACCCAUGUACUUGAUAAUGGACGUCCUUCUCUACUUCCUCCAUGUCCCAACAAACUCAGUGUUAGGGAGAAGUUUGACAUCAAGCCUCCGCCUGAGAUAUCUCUGGCGCACGGCACCUUCAUCUUUGAUGACUAUGCCAUAGGAGAUACCAUCUUUGAGAGGACAAAGGAGGAUAAUAAAGUUGGAUUGUCUAUUGAAGACAGGCGUUUUUUGGACAUCAUGGAUAAAGAGAUGUUCAUGGACGAGAGCAAUAGUUGGGUCNCUCAUUUUGUUACCUUCAUGCAGAACAUCUUUGAUCGUGACCAUGCCGAAGUAGCCCCUCCUCUUCGAGAAGGCCAGGAAUGUUGGUAUUUACCUACCUUUGGGGUGUACCACCCACAGAAGCCUGAUCAGAUCAGAGUUGUCUUCGACUCCAGCGCGCAAAAACAGGGCAUCUCCUUGAACGAUGUUCUUCUCUCUGGUCCUGACUUAAAUAAUAGCCUCUUGGGAGUCUUACUACGUUUUAGAAGGGAGCUGGUAGCUGUAACUGCAGACAUCGAACAGAUGUUUCACAGCUUCAUUGUGAAAGAGGAAGAUAGAGACUUCCUUCGUUUUCUCUGGUUCAAGGAUAAUGACACCAGCAAAGGGAUUAUUGAAUACCGCAUGAAGGUGCACGUGUUCGGUAAUAGUCCAUCUCCUGCUGUAGCCAUUUAUGGUCUUCGACGAGCAGCGGCUUAUGGUGAGGAGGAAUAUGGUUCAGAUGCCAGACACUUUGUAGAGAGAGAAUUCUACGUCGAUGAUGGACUUUUGUCAACACCCACAGCUGCCGGAACAAUCGAUCUGUUGACACGAACAAAGAAAAUGCUGGCAACUUCAAAUUUAAAAUUGCACAAGUUUGCUUCUAAUAGCAAGGAAGUAAUGAAUGCAUUUCCGACCGAAGAUCAUGCGAAGGGACUCAAAGAUCUCAACUUGGAAGUUGACCCUACCCCCAUCCAACGUAGUCUCGGACUUAGCUGGGAUGUGAAGGGGGACACAUUCACCUUUCAUGUAACCGACAUUAAGAAGCCCUUUACUCGGAGAGGGAUACUGGCUACUGUCAACAGUCUCUUCGACCCACUUGGGUUCGUUGCCCCUGUCAUCAUUGAAGGGAAAUUCCUGCUACGAGAACUCUCAGGUGAGACUUGUGACUGGGAUUCUCCCCUCCCUGAAGACAAGGAAGAAGCAUGGAAUGCAUGGAGGAGAUCCCUACAAGAUCUAAAACAGCUGGAGAUUCCUAGAACAUAUGUUUAUACUGCUCUCUCUACAGCUCUGAGGAAGGAACUCCACAUUUUCUCUGAUGCUUCUGUCAAAGCGAUUGCAGCAGUGGCAUAUCUUCGUGUCAUCAAUGGCGAAGGAGCAUGCCACACUGGGUUCAUAUUGGGGAAGGCCAAAUUAGCUCCACAAGCUGCUCAUACCAUUCCCAGGCUGGAACUAGGAGCUGCGGUUUUAGCUGCAGAGAUAGCAGAGAUAAUCACAAACGAGCUGGACUUCACUUUAGAUGCUGUGGAGUUUUACACGGAUAGUAGAGUCGUCCUGGGGUACAUCUAUAACCAGACAAGACGGUUCUAUGUAUACGUAGCCAACAGAGUGCAGCGUAUCCAUAGAGUGUCAAACCCAAUGCAAUGGCACUAUGUGUCUACUAAGCAUAACCCUGCAGAUCAUGCCACCCGCUCCGUUCCUGCAGCUCUGUUGGGCACCACCACCUGGUUUACAGGACCUGCCUUCCUGUCGCAAAUGGAUCCGAAUCUGUCUCUGGAGGAGAGGGAAUUUGACCUCCUCGGGCCAGAGUUGGACACAGAAGUUCGCCCUCUUGCUACUACUGUAUCCGAUGAUUUUCAUCUUGAAUGUCAACGAUUCGAGCGAUUCUCUUCUUGGAGGUCAUUAGUCAGAGCCAUAGCUUUUCUCAUACAUGUCGCCCAGACUUACAAGUCGUCUGAUGAUAGAGAAAGAGCCUGCAGCUCAUGGCACUACUGUGCUAAGCCUCGUACAGUGAAAGAGUUGUUACAAGCAGAGGAAGUUGUAAUCAAGAGUAUUCAGAGGGAAGCUUACCAAGAAGAGCUCACCUGCAUCGCCAAAAAAGAUGACAUCCCGAGGCACAGUGCUCUGAAAAAACUGAACCCUUACGUAGAUAGUAGAGGUCUUCUCAGGAUAGGAGGUCGGCUUAAAAAUGCAACUUUGGAUCUCCAAGAGAAGUUUCCUUUGAUUGUUCCAGGACGCAGUCAUGCUGCGAAGCUACUUGUGGAGUAUUACCAUGAUCGAGUCAAGCAUCAGGGUCGUGUGUUUACUGAAUCAGCUAUCCGCAAUGCAGGGUAUUGGAUUGUUGGUGUUAGGAAGCUUAUCAACAGCAUUGUACACAAGUGCAUCAUAUGCAACAAGCUUCGUGGGAAGGUAACUGAGCAGAAGAUGGCGGACUUGCCCAUUGAUCGCCUGAGCACUGAACCUCCCUUCACGAACGUCGGUCUUGAUGUUUUUGGACCUUGGACAGUUGUCGCAAGGCGCACGCGAGGAGGACAAGCUCAGAGCAAAAGAUGGGCUGUUCUUUUCACUUGUAUGAGUAUUCGUGCCAUACAUAUUGAGCUGAUUGACAGUAUGGAUUCAUCCACCUUUAUAAACGCCUUGAGAAGGUUUUUUGCUCUACGAGGUCCUGUCAAACAAAUUCGGUCUGAUUGCGGGACCAAUUUUGUAGGAGCCUGUAAAGAGCUGGAAAUUGUGGUAAAUGAUCCUCAAGAGCCUAGUGUGAGGAAGUACCUGAGUGGAGAGGGUUGUUCAUGGGUCUUCAAUCCACCUCAUGCAUCCCACAUGGGAGGAGCCUGGGAGCGGAUGAUAGGAGUCUCCAGGCGCAUACUAGAUUCCAUGCUCCAACAGAUCAGUCCUUCCCGCUUGACACAUGAAGUGUUGUCCACCUUGAUGGCAGAGGUUACAGGAAUCGUUAAUUCAAGACCCCUUGUUCCUAUUUCAACAGACCCAGAUUCACCUUUCUUGUUAACGCCAGCCAUGCUCCUAACUCAAAAGGGUCAUACACUCCUCCCACCUCCAGGUGAUUUCAAGGAAACCAAUCUCCAUAGACAGCAAUGGAGAAGGGUGCAACAUCUUGCUAAUACUUUCUGGAAUAGAUGGAGGCGUGAAUACCUCUCAACGCUUCAAAGCCGAAGCAAAUGGCAAGAGGAACGACGAAAUCUAAGAGAGGGCGAUGUUGUCCUUCUUAAGGAUGCUCAAAGUAAGCGCAAUGAAUGGCCUAUGGCUCUUGUGACCAAGACUUUUCCUGGCAGUGACAAAAGAGUCAGAACGGUUGAACUAAGAGUUGCAAGGAAUGGGACAAUCAAGACAUUCCUCAGACCUAUAUCGGAAACAGUUCUGCUCAUGCCAACGGAGGACUGAUAUUUGUGAGGUCUUAUGUGAACAUUCUCAGGUUAUAUGGUGGUAUCUAAACAAUACCAGGCGGGGAGUGUCAUGACAUACAUUUGUUUUUUAUUUACUAGCACCAUCUUGUNACGACUUUGUGAGCUCAUCAUGCACUUCCGGGAAGAAAGGCACUGUGGCGUGGCGCUGAGAACCAGCGCGUGCCACCCCGAGAUACCAAUCAUCCAGCCUCGAUGGCUCGGGAUGCGGUGGAGGAUUCCACUCGAGCCCUACCAUCUCAGCGGCCCGGGAAAGCAUAGCUGCCAUUUUGG
ensembl:lncRNA